CCUACGGGGGGCUGCAGUGGGGAAUAUUGGACAAUGGGGGCAACCCUGAUCCAGCCAUGCCGCGUGUGUGAAGAAGGCCCUCGGGUUGUAAAGCACUUUCAGUGAGGAAGAACGCCUGGUGGUUAAUACCCAUCAGGAAAGACAUCACUCACAGAAGAAGCACCGGCUAACUCCGUGCCAGCAGCCGCGGUAAUACGGAGGGUGCGAGCGUUAAUCGGAAUUACUGGGCGUAAAGCGCGCGUAGGUGGCUUGAUAAGCCGGUUGUGAAAGCCCCGGGCUCAACCUGGGAACGGCAUCCGGAACUGUCAAGCUAGAGUGCAGGAGAGGAAGGUAGAAUUCCCGGUGUAGCGGUGAAAUGCGUAGAGAUCGGGAGGAAUACCAGUGGCGAAGGCGGCCUUCUGGACUGACACUUACACUGAGGUGCGAAAGCGUGGGUAGCAAACAGGAUUAGAUACCCUGGUAGUC
rnacentral:rRNA from 1 species